rnacentral:lncRNA from 1 species
CUUUUCUUUCUUUGUUUUGGUCCAUCCUAACAUCUCACAAUGGACUCUUGACUUAAUGCUUGCAGCAUAAAUCAGCUCCAGAGGAAAAUUUCAGAGACAAGCUGUUCAUCAAGCGCAUGGAUUCAUCCAGAUGGAGUCAGAUAUUUUAAUCAAGCCUUCAAUCAAGGUAAGAGGAGUU